GAACUCAAGUACUAACUACCCCUGAUUAGGUUUUCAAAUAAACAUAGAGACCCACAAGCAACAUCUCAAACCAAUGGGCCCACAAUGAGGGUUUAGGUAAUCAAAACAAUGCCCAAAAGGUCAAUCACAAAGUCCAUAAUACAAGUAAAAGUUAGAUUUUGAUGUCCAGAUGAAUGUCAAGAUGUGAUCUCCUUGAACUUAAUCUCCCCGGAGAUCAAGAAAUUAGGUUUUACCCCAAAUGAUUCCAUAUGAUGAUCCAUACCACACUUCUAGGGCUUGAACCACCAGUAAACCCUAACUUUGCAAGUCGUAAGUCUUGAAUCUAUGAUACUUUUAGCAGGUGUUGAUGAUGAUGAAUGAUGC
rnacentral:lncRNA from 1 species